AAUCAAAUGAUCGAUUGAUUUUGGCAAACAUUCGAGUAAUAUGCCACCUCUAUAGGAGACAUUCAAAGUCAAGUUUGAAAAUUUUCACAAAUUUAGUGGGCUAUGAGACGACUUCGUAUGAAGGAAUAAAAAUAUCAAUACCAAAUUUAACAAUCUCUAAAAAAGUUUGAUAUCUCAGUAAUUAGUAGGAUGCAAGCACACUAAAAUUCACUCCUUCCUUCUUCUAUAACCAAAUUUCUCACUUUAUGCACCACACAGCCAUUCAAUUCCCUUAGCCUAACCUCACACGUGAAACUGCGGCCGCCCAGAUGGCUACUGCCUGGUGGUGGAUCUAGCCAAGUAUCCGUGCAAAGUGAUCUGCAAGGACUCUACCAAGAAGGAGGUUAACAAAUCACGCGUCAAGUGCUUUAUGGAACUGUUUAUGCUGGAAAUUAUAUCUGGUAUCAUCUUCGUUUUCCAUUGAAAUGCUGGCUCUAUUUAGAAUUUUAUUCCUUCAUUUUAUUUAUUAUUUAUUUAUUUAUUUAUUUUUAUUUUUUUGUGAUUUGUAAAAUGAUUGUGCAUUUUGUCAUACUUGAAACUCACCCUUUAUGUGUUUCUUUAAUUCUGCUUUUAGGAUGUUAGGGUUUUCUUUUCUUUUCUUUUCAAUAGCUAAUUGUCUAAAUUUCUUGUAUAGUGUAGAUCUUAUAACCGACAGUUUAUGCAAUGCAUUGAUUGCUACAUUCUGAAUGUUGGCUGCUAAUGUUUUUUGCUAUCGUCUGAUUUUCUUAUGGAUUUGUGAUUUUAUUGAUACUUUUUACCGAGCACUUGAAUUUAUGGGUGAGAAAACCUCUGAUAUGUGAUAAAGAAAUUCUAAUAUUCACUUUGAUGUUAAGUGUGAGAAAUCCUCUGAUGUCUGGUAAAGCUACUUUGAUAUGAACCCUAGCCGAUUAACUAAAGAAGCAAGGAUAACUGUUUGUAUGUUACCAAAAUUGCUCUGUAUUCAAUCAAUUGUAAGAACAGGGAAAUGGAGUUUUUAUUAUAAGGAAAUUUUACAAAGUCAAAGGAAAUUUCUACAUCUUGCAAACUUAAAUCUAAUGAGUGGUCUAGUCAUGUGUGUGAGUAAUUAUCAUUGCGCUCAUAUUAUGAAUACAUGAACCUGGAGGUACGUAGCCCACAUAUUCACACAUCUUUUCUGACUUCUCAUUGGGAAUAUUUUCUGAAUAUUGGUUUCACUUGUUUCAGGUUGGUUACUUGCUUAGCUUGGGUGAUCUACAUCCAACUAAACCUCUAUUUGUCAAUUUCAUUUUUUGUUUGCAAAUCAGUUCUUUUAAGAUUUACACUGCAUUGCGAAAGAUUCACAAGGGCAAGGAUGCUAAGCCCACUGAGUUUGAGGAGAUUGUUGCUUAGGUCGUUACCCCCAUAGAAGCUAGUGGAUUCCUCUACUUUAUUCAGCCAUUAAAUUUCUAUGAAUGCAGUUGGUGAUGGUUUACCCUUCUUGAUGUGUAUGUAGGAUUUAUUCGACUUGGAAACUACAAACCAAGGAUUUAAGAGUGCCUUGAAAGAUCUUUACAUCAGCUAUACCAUUUAAAAGUUACUUGAUUAACACUUAUUCUUUGCCCAGUCACCAUUUUGUAGCAUGUUGAUCAUCAGUCCAUUUAAUAUUGUGCAGGCAAAUUGAUGUUUCUGGAAAAAGAAGGUUGUUGUAAUCCAUAUUCCUUAUCGUCUUAGGAAAGCUUUCCGCAAGAUUUUUCAUCUUAGACUAGUGAGAGAGCUUGAGAAGUUCAGCAGGAAGGUAAUGCUGAUACUAUGAUGUCAUGUUAAGAAUUUGCUCCAUUUAUCUAAUCAAAAUUGCAAUACCCCCCUUCCCCCAACUUCGUUCAGAAAGGGGAAAAAAUAAGAGAAAAAUCUUAAUCUUCAGUUACCAAGUAGAGGAAUGCAACGUUUUCUACCUUUCCACUUCUAACUAAUUUUGAUCAAUCUAUUAAGAUAUUAUCUGCACUUGUCUUGUGUUAAUAAUACUUAAUUGGUGUUAUUUUGCUGAUGAAUGUUGUUG
rnacentral:lncRNA from 1 species